ensembl:misc_RNA
GUAAAAGUUUCAUUUGAUCUGAAUACUAUCCAGAUAAAAUACCUGGAUGAGGAGAACGAGGAG